rnacentral:rRNA from 1 species
UACGUAGGGGGCAAGCGUUGUCCGGAUUUAUUGGGCGUAAAGAGCGUGUAGGCGGUUUUACAGGUCCGCUGUGAAAACUCGAGGCUCAACGUCGAGAUGUCGGCGGAAACCAUUUGGCUAGAGUCCGGAAGAGGAAAGUGGAAUUCCUGGUGUAGCGGUGAAAUGCGCAGAUAUCAGGAAGAACACCCGUGGCGAAGGCGGCUUUCUGGGACGGUACUGACGCUGAGACGCGAAAGCGUGGGGAGCGAACAGG